rnacentral:rRNA from 1 species
AGUGAACGCUGGCGGCGUGCCUAAUACAUGCAAGUCGAACGGAAUUUAAAAGAGCUUGCUCUUUUAAAUUUAGUGGCGCACGGGUGAGUAAUAUAUAGCUAAUCUGCCCCUUGCUGGAGGACAACAGUUAGAAAUGACUGCUAAUACUCCAUACUCCUUUUUACCAUAAGAUAAAUCGGGAAAGAAUUUCGGCAAGGGAUGAGACUAUAUCGUAUCAGCUAGUCGGUGGGGUAACGGCCUACCGAGGCUAUGACGCGUAACUGGUCUGAGAGGAUGAUCAGUCACAUUGGAACUGAGACACGGUCCAAACUCCUACGGGAGGCAGCAGUAGGGAAUAUUGCGCAAUGGGGGAAACCCUGACGCAGCAACGCCGCGUGGAGGAUGACACUUUUCGGAGCGUAAACUCCUUUGUUAGGGAAAGAAU